CCUACGGGGGGCUGCAGUGGGGAAUAUUGGACAAUGGGGGGAACCCUGAUCCAGCCAUGCCGCGUGUGUGAAGAAGGCCCUCGGGUUGUAAAGCACUUUCAGUGAGGAAGAACGCCUGGUGGUUAAUACCCAUCAGGAAAGACAUCACUCACAGAAGAAGCACCGGCUAACUCCGUGCCAGCAGCCGCGGUAAUACGGAGGGUGCGAGCGUUAAUCGGAAUUACUGGGCGUAAAGCGCGCGUAGGUGGCUUGAUAAGCCGGUUGUGAAAGCCCCGGGCUCAACCUGGGAACGGCAUCCGGAACUGUCAAGCUAGAGUGCAGGAGAGGAAGGUAGAAUUCCCGGUGUAGCGGUGAAAUGCGUAGAGAUCGGGAGGAAUACCAGUGGCGCAGGCGGCCUUCUGGACUGACACUGACACUGAGGUGCGAAAGCGUGGGUAGCAAACAGGAUUAGAUACCCUAGUAGUC
rnacentral:rRNA from 1 species